rnacentral:tRNA from 1 species
CGGGAAGUAGUUCAGCUUGGUAGAGCACUUGGUUUGGGACCAAGGGGUCGCAGGUUCGAAUCCUGUCUUCCCGA